rnacentral:tRNA from 1 species
GUUCAUGUAGUAAUUACAUUACUCUAUCUUUUCAUGAUAGCAGAGACUAUUGUCCAUGAAUUG